UCCGGUGUGGUUUAGUUGGCUAUAAUAUGUCUCGGCAAUGGCCGCCAGUAGUGGUUAGCCAGUGAUGGCUAAUCCCUAUAAUGGCUGAAGGCCGUUACCGGGUACAAGACCCAAGUUCGAUCCUUGGCGCCGGAC